rnacentral:lncRNA from 1 species
AGUCCGCCAUGGAUGCAACAGGGCAGCUUUAUUUGCUGUUGCAGGUACAAGAAUGGGAAGCCAGAAAAUGGGAUGGUGGAGUUUGAAUCAGGUGGACAGUUCUAAAAGUACAAAUGAUUUCGUAUAAAGGUACCACAUGUGGGUCCCUUUAACUGAAGGCAUGGCAAGCUCCACACAAGGUCCUUCAUUUCUGAAUUUCAAGGUAAGUCAUCUUGUUUUUCUAGAUUGUAAUAUGGCUUGUAACCAGUGAUGUGAUGAUUCUGCCAAAUGAUACAAAGUGAUAUCACCUUUACAACCGUUCCAUUUUAUUUCUGAGGUUACUCUGGUAACAUGUUAGCUUGAACCAUUCUAAGCCAGAUGAGUAAGUUUUUGUUUUCUUAGGGCUCCUCUGACAAGUGGACAGUGCAGUGGGUGCACCUUUUCCAGAGGUGACUGGAUGGAUGCUUGAACAGAAGAUUUGCCAAAUAGACAUUGUGCUGUCAAGAAUUUUACCAUUAAAAGUGCAUUAUUGUAGC